rnacentral:misc_RNA from 1 species
CGCCUGUUAUUGCCAAGCUGGU